CCUACGGGCGGCUGCAGUGGGGAAUAUUGCACAAUGGGCGCAAGCCUGAUGCAGCCAUGCCGCGUGUGUGAAGAAGGCCUUCGGGUUGUAAAGCACUUUCAGCGGGGAGGAAGGCGUUAAGGUUAAUAACCUUGUCGAUUGACGUUACCCGCAGAAGAAGCACCGGCUAACUCCGUGCCAGCAGCCGCGGUAAUACGGAGGGUGCAAGCGUUAAUCGGAAUUACUGGGCGUAAAGCGCACGCAGGCGGUCUGUCAAGUCGGAUGUGAAAUCCCCGGGCUCAACCUGGGAACUGCAUUCGAAACUGGCAGGCUAGAGUCUUGUAGAGGGGGGUAGAAUUCCAGGUGUAGCGGUGAAAUGCGUAGAGAUCUGGAGGAAGACCGGUGGCGAAGGCGGCCCCCUGGACAAAGACUGACGCGCAGGUGCGAAAGCGUGGGGAGCAAACAGGAGUAGAUACCCCGGUAGGC
rnacentral:rRNA from 1 species